rnacentral:rRNA from 1 species
GAUAAACGCUGACAGAAUGCUUAACACAUGCAAGUCGAUGAUGGGAGCUAGCUUGCUAGAAGAAGUCAUGGCGGACGGGUGAGUAACGUGUAAAGAACUUACCAUAUAGACUGGGAUAACAGAGGGAAACUUCUGAUAAUGCUGGAUAAGUUAGUAGUAGCAUUACUAAGUAAUGAAAGGUAGCAAUACGCUAUAUGAGAGCUUUGCAUCCUAUUAGCUAGUUGGUGGGGUAAAAGCCUACCAAGGCGAUGAUAGGUAGCCGGCCUGAGAGGGUGGACAGCCACAAGGGGACUGAGAUACGGCCCUUACUCCUACGGGAGGCAGCAGUGGGGAAUAUUGGACAAUGGAGGCAACUCUGAUCCAGCAAUUCUGUGUGUGUGAAGAAGGUUUUAGGACUGUAAAACACUUUUAGUAGGGAAGAAAGAAAUGACGGUACCUACAGAAGAAGCGACGGCUAAAUACGUG